rnacentral:rRNA from 1 species
GACAAAUAAAUUUCCCCAAAAACACAAAGUUUUGGUCCUAAACUUGCCGUUGUUUUUAAUCAAAAUUACACAUGCAAGCAUCCGCACACCAGUGAGAAUGCCCUAUAAAGUACCAAGGAGCAGGUAUCAGGCACAACCAAUUAGCCCAAGACACCUUGCUACGCCACACCCACACGGGCACCCAGCAGUGAUAAAUAUUAAGCAAUGAGUGAACAACCAAUUCAAAGCUCGACUUAGUUAUGAAUACAAGGGCCGGUCAACCUCGUGCCAGCCACCGCGGUUAUACGAGGGGCCCAAAACAUCGGACAUCGGCGUAAAUUAUGGCUAGAGAAACUACUUACAACAUGGGAGAUAAACACAAACCCAACCGUAAAACCCGGGAUAAAAGAAACUUAAAUUCCCAAUUACAAAGUAACUUGAACCCAUGAAGACUAAGAAACAAACUAGGAUUAGAUACCCUACUAUGCUUAGUUGUUAACACGACAUUAAACAACACUAAUGUCCGCCAGAGGAUUACGCGCGAAAAGCUUAAAACUCAAAGGACUUGGCGGGGCUCCGUAUUCGCCUUAGAGGAGCCUGUCCUAUAAUCGAUACUCCACGCUUUACCUCACCAUUCUUUUGUAAAACAAGCCUAUAUACCGCGUCGCAAACUUACCC